GUCCUGCAUUAGAUACAUAUAUUACAAUAUAUAAAAGAAUAAAAAUCAGUCAUAAAAACUUCUCUACAUAUUUUUAUUGAUUAAAUAAAUAUGUUAUAAUGGUGAUAGGACACUCGUUAUUAGUACUGUUCCAAAAAUAGCUUUGCAUUACAUUCUAAGACAUGUCCCGGACAAGAUCUACAUAAGACCACCCUAAAUAAUGAACGAAUACGUAUCUUAGGACAUAUUCUGGGAUACUUUCGUUGACAUGGCAUCUGGAUUUAAUUGACAGGACGGAUAAUUGUUUUGGUCAUUAGACUAAGUCAUAAUAAAAAGAUAUAAAGCUUGUUUUAAUAAUGAAUCUUAUUUUCAAAUUUAUAAAGCGUAACUGUACAGCUAUUCACUAGCAGAUAACAUAACGAACAUAACUAUUCUUUCUGCAAAAUUUAAAUCUCUGCUAUCCUGUUGGUCCAUAUGAAAGAUAUUUUUCGGUUUCGUGACGUCAACUAGGAAGUGAUGACCUUUGAUAUUGAAACUUGAAUAACUCUUUUCUUAUCCUCAAAUACAUUUUGGACUUAAAAAUAGCAGUAUGGUGUCAUGAUACUUUGAAAAUGUACAUAACUUCACAAGGAAUAUUUCCUAUGAUUAACAUCUUUUUUU
rnacentral:lncRNA from 1 species